GAAGAAUUUUCUAUUUGCGUUGAAACAUUAAGGUGGGAACCCCAUCAGUUGGUGGGGGUGUUAAGGAAAUGAGGCUGUGUGUGGGCACUCCAAUUCACCAUAGCUACACUAUUAUUCGUCAUAGCCCAUCCCGGAAUUUGCUGUGUUCGACGCAUUCAGUCGCGACCCAUAUCAUACUAAAACCAUUCCAAUUUAGCACAAGUGCCUGCAUUUUAAUUCAAAGCUGGGACAGUAUAAUCCAGAAGAAUCGCAGGAUAAGGAAAAGAAGAGGUGGAUUAGCAGUGGUGCCAAUGGCGGCUUCUGAAUCAUCUGCCUCCUCCAAGCCCUUCGGAACACUCUUUGUUUGCCUUGGAAAUAUUUGUCGAAGCCCCACUGCAGAGGCUGUAUUUCGUGAUGCUGUGCAGAAAAGGGGAUUGACAUCAAUGUUUAAAAUUGACUCUGCUGGAACUAUUGACUAUCAUGAGGGCAAUCCUGCGGAUCCCCGGAUGAGGAAUGCAGCCAAGAAACGUGGAAUAGAGAUAACUUCUAUUUCAAGGCCCAUAUCACCUUCAGACUUUAAAGAAUUUGAUCUUAUACUUGCAAUGGACAACCAAAAUAAAGCCGACAUCUUGAGGGCUUAUGAAGAAUGGAAAGUGAAGUAUUCUCUUCCUAAUGAUGCUCACAAGAAGCUUGCAGGUGAAGUUGAUGUGCACAUACUGUAAGCAAUGCAAGGAAACAGAAGUUCCCGAUCCAUACUAUGGUGGACCACAAGGUUUUGAAAAGAUAAAUUGACGCUAGGCUCAAAGUGAUGAAAAGUGCUCGCAAGGACACUAUUAAGGAAAUCUUCUUUUUUGAAAAAGCAACAGUUUAAGCAAUUUUUUUUUUCUCAAAAAAGGCAACAAAAAAGGAAAAGAUUCUUUUUCAAAAAAGCGGCAAAAGGAUUUGUUUCCUUCUAAACUAGCUGCCAAAGGGUUAUUAAAGGAGGUUAGGUUUUUAGAAGAAGGGUUACUGAGUUAUUUGUCAUUUUCAUAUACUUUGAGCAAGAACAUGAGCUCUACAUAUUUCUUGAGGACAAAUAUCCUCUUGGAAUACUAGUUUCAGGGACAAAACCCCUACUAGUUGCAUACGGCGUUUUCACCUUGAGAUCACAUUUGUGCUGCAAGUGAAGUUUGUUCCA